GCCACUCUCACAAACGUCUACAACCGCACCUACAUAUUUUGGCAUGUUUACAAUUCUAAUUUUGAACAGCCGAUCCGGUUCUUGGUAACAAUUACAAUUAAACGUCGAUUGACUGUUUAGAACUGUAAACAUACAAAAAUAUGUAGGUGCGGUCGUAGACGUGCGUGGGAGUGAC